GCCUGGCUGGCUCAGUCGGUGGAGCAUGUGACUCCUGAUCUCGGUGUUGUGGGUUCAAGCCCCAUGUUGGGUG
rfam:Felis catus isolate Cinnamon breed Abyssinian chromosome A2, whole genome shotgun sequence.